rnacentral:pre_miRNA from 1 species
AGCCUUCUGUAUCCGUGCUGAGAUUUCGUCACACACCAGACCACAAGGGCUGAUGAGAUAGGGUAUAAAUCC